rnacentral:rRNA from 1 species
UACGUAGGUGGCAAGCGUUGUCCGGAUUUAUUGGGUUUAAAGGGUGCGUAGGCGGCUUUGUAAGUCAGUGGUGAAAUAUGGCAGCUCAACUGUCAAGGUGCCAUUGAUACUGCGGAGCUUGAGUACAGAUGAGGUAGGCGGAAUUGACGGUGUAGCGGUGAAAUGCUUAGAUAUCAGGAGGAACACCGGUGGCGAAGGCGGGUCUCUGGGCCGAUACUGACGCUGAGACGCGAAAGCGUGGGGAGCGAACAGG